CACCUCGGGCGAGGGCAACUGCCGCGCUGUGCGCGCGCUCGCCCCGCCCCCUCACGGUAUCUGCGGGCGGCGCCCGCCGGUGGCACGCGGCACUUCGCGCCCCGAUGCUGGUGACCGGUCUGUCCAGUUGACGCCCCCGGGACAAAGCGCACUGGGAUCGGGCCCGCUCAGACCCCUCCCCCCUCCAGCUGAGUGGGGCGAAUCGCCGCGGGAGUGGUUGCGCGCUGGGGGUGUCUCUAGGAAACAGCUACUACCUCUUUUAUCUGCUAUACCCUGGUGAUGUGCCUUGGAUCUAGCUCACUGGGCUUGGGCCCUCUUUGUAAACUGCUGACUAGCAGGACCCUGCUGACUCAAGAGUUCUGAAAUUUAUUAGAGAUUCCACAGACAUAUUUUCAACUCCAGGGCCAAAGUCAACUUUUGCAACAUCAGUGCCUAAAUUUAUUACUUUGAUUUGGGAUUGCCCUUCUUUUGGGAAGUCUGGAAGAGUUUUCUUGGUGAAAAAGAGUGAAAUAAAUUAAACAUGUAUUUUGAAGCUGGAUCGUUUAUAUCAAGGCCAUAAAAUCUACCCUGGAGAUAAAAUACUUGCUAUCAUAUUGAAACUGCUACCAGGUUAGAGCUCCCUGUCCAACAGAGUAUGGAGAAAGUCCCUGAGAGUACUCCCACAAAGUGAUAGUGUACAGUUCUGAAUGAAAUCUACUAAAACUUGAAACCUCUCUACAAAUCUGAAUUCAUGAACACCAGCUCCUGACAGAGUAUUCUUGAAUCCUGAGGGUGGUUUGAAACACUCUUUCCCUAAAGCAAGAGUUGGAAUUUCAUUGCUUUUUUCAGUCAUGCCUUCAUUUGAUUAUUUUGCUUUUUAAAUAAGCACUCACUUGAACUUUCCCAGCCAGGAGUCAGCAAUGAUUGCUCCAAGGAUUGGAGUCAAAUAGCACAGAGCAACAAACGUGUGGUAGAUGGCUGUAGAUAGGUUAUCAUCCCAAUGGAGAAAAUAUUUGAAGUACAGAACAAGCACAGCUACAAGGGGGAACAAAACAAUCUGUUAGGGAGGUGAUAAUCAGUAACUGAAACCAAAAACAGGUGAAGAUUGAAAAGGAAGUUACCUCGCAUUCCAUAGUAGGAGAAUCUUUCACAGAACUCAUUGAUGACAAUGAAGAAAAUGCUGAGUGGAUAACCAAAGCAACUUGGCUGAAAGGGAACAAUGGUACAAUGUGAAUUCCAACAAAGCCACGAAAUGUAUAAAGAAGAUCAUUAUCUGGCCGCAAU